AGGACUAACGCUGGCGGCGUGCCUAACACAUGCAAGUCGAACGAGGUAGCAAUACCUAGUGGCAGACGGGUGAGUAACGCGUGGUCAACCUACCUCUUAGUGGGGGAUAACUAGCCGAAAGGUUAGCUAAUACCGCAUACGAUCGUCGCGAGGCAUCUCGUGACGAUGAAAGGAGCAAUUCGCUAAGAGAGGGGACUGCGUCCCAUUAGUUAGUUGGUGGGGUAAUGGCCCACCAAGACUCCGAUGGGUAGCUGGCUUGAGAGAGCGACCAGCCACACUGGAACUGAGACACGGUCCAGACUCCUACGGGAGGCAGCAGUGAGGAAUUUUCCGCAAUGGGCGCAAGCCUGACGGAGCGACGCCGCGUGUGGGAAGAAGGCCUUCGGGUCGUAAACCACUGUCGAAGGGGACGAUAUUGACGGUACCCUUGGAGGAAGCCCGGCUAACUACGCGCCAGCAGCCGC
rnacentral:rRNA from 1 species